rnacentral:rRNA from 1 species
UAGGGAAUAUUGCAAAAUGGGCGAAAGCCCGAUGCUGCAACGCCGCGUGGGCGAUGAAGGCCUUCGGGUCGUAAAGCCCUUUUUGAGGGGAUGAGGAAGGACAGUACCCUCAGAAUAAGCCUCGGCUAACUACGUGCCAGCAGCCGCGGUAAAACGUAGGGUGCGAGCGUUAAUCGGAAUUACUGAGCGUAAAGCGUGCGCAGGCGGUUUUGUAAGACAGAUGUGAAAUCCCCGGGCUUAACCUGGGAACUGCGUUUGUGACUGCAAGGCUGGAGUACGGCAGAGGGGGGUGGAAUUCCACGUGUAGCAGUGAAAUGCGUAGAAAUGUGGAGGAACACCGAUGGCGAAGGCAGCCCCCUGGGCCUGUACUGACGCUCAUGCACGAAAGCGUGGGGAGCAAACA